UGGAAUUAUUCGAGAGUUUUUUUUUAUAUUAUCUUCCAUAGUUCGCCGAAAGCGGUUCCGAGAUUUUUUCAAAUUUCUCCAAAUGUUUUUUACUUUUGUACUGAGCGUACAAAAGACUUUCAGCGAUUUUCAAAAUUAUAUCGAACCAUUUUGCCGGAACUUUUACAGAUUUUUCAAGUUUCCACGACCUUCUCGUCCAGAGUCUUCCCGACGUCUCCUGUACCUCUUCGAGACUUUCUCUGCUAGGCGACCCUUCUCCAGCCAUCAAAAGUCUCAGAAACAGUCUUCCCGUCACUAUCGCAAGCGAAUUUCAAAAAGUUUCGAAAGAGUUUCAGCAAGAAUCCCGCAUUCCGGACAAGCUCCUGGCAAGACACCUCGGCGAGUUUCCCAACGGUGCUAGUGCCUUUUGCGCGCGAUGUAUGAAGUUGAAUCAUGAAUUCUAUACUAAUGCGGUGGUGUCGUCUCCGGAGUGCUGCUCAUCAAGCGGCGUAGUGCAAAUUAGGAUCGACGCGAGGAUCCGAAUGAGAAAAGAGGCGGUUAAUUUCCCGAGGGCAGUAGAGCAAACGGCAUCGUUCGUUGGCACAACAAAAAAAUCAAGGGGAAGAAGAAAAAAGGAGAAAAGAAGAACCGGAAGGGAGGAGGAAAAACAAAGAGCAAAAGAACGAAUAAAGAGGCCGGAAAUAAGGAGGGGGGAGGCUGGACACAAAAAAAGGAGGGAGGGAAAGAGCGGGAGUAAACGAGAAGAGAGACGAUGCCGUAACGCCAAGCCCGUUCGUCAUUGUUGUUUUCACAGUGGCUUAGCGAUGCCUGGACGCGCAGGGUGAUCGGUGGCUAUUCCGUGGCACGUACUCUAUGCGCACCCUCGUGAACUAAAAGGAGCCAAAGUAACUGUUCAACAACAUGACUGGAUCUAACUACCCUGGAUACGCGUUCACCUUCAACAACCACGUUUGCGCUCCCCCCUCGAAAGUACUUUAGGGCGGUGUAUUAAUCGCGGUUAACCGCACAGCUGUACGUCUGAUCAAGCUUUUGCAACUGUUUCGUUUUUCAAUGCAAUUUCCGGUCAAAAAACGCCGAUGGAUUCGAAAUGAAUUGACUUUACAGAGGAUAAAAAUUAUUAAGGACGGGGAGAAGAGCACGCGAUUGCCUUUUUUGAAGAUAAUCAUUGGAGCAUGCGUUACUGUAACUAGUUUCGGCCGAAUUUCGAGCAAAUCACCGGUUAGAUAAAUUCCACGAUUUUGCAAGCACAGCAGUUGGAUAUUUUGAGGGUGGAAAAUCUGAUGGAAACUCCAUUUGCCUCGGUCGAUGCAACGCUCAUUUUUCAGUAUCAUUCGAUACGUUCUUCGCCGCAGUAACUGAUGCUGCUGAUGAGCUAUUGUUUCGGUUGCAUAGUCGGGGAGAACCGAAUGGUAAAUUGAACUAUCACACCGCGAAGACCGCGCGCAGCGAUGAAACAGGACGAGCAAUACGAUGGUCAAACCGCGACAUCAAUGAAGCAAAAGUCUUUGUAUUUGCAUGUUGCGUUCCCCGUACGCAUAUAAUUCAACAAACAGAAUACUGUUAAUUAUAAUUAUCGAACGAUCUCUAAAAUGAUGAAUGAAUUAAUAAGAAUCCACCGCUUGAUCAAAUCACUGGAUGAACGUCGAUCGAUCCUCGAACGUAGCGUUUUUCACUUCACACGAAACAUUCCGAUAAUUGCCAAUAUUAUUUUUAUCAUUCUCACAAUGUUUGAGGGAAGUGAAUGUAGUUAGCAAUUUUAGAUUAGCAAUAUUGGAGAAAACAAAAGAACAUUUAAAUGAGUUUGUUUGAGUAAGUUUUCUGUUCUUGCUCAUUUUGGCUGUGCUUUGUUAUUCUCAAAAGAACUGUCUGUAUCAGUUCUAAUGAAUCGAAAAAAUAAAAUGACGUUUCUUUCA
rnacentral:lncRNA from 1 species